rnacentral:rRNA from 1 species
UAGGGAAUCUUCCGCAAUGGACGCAAGUCUGACGGAGCAACGCCGCGUGAGUGAAGAAGGAUUUCGGUUCGUAAAACUCUGUUGUUAGAGAAGAACAGCGCAUAGAGUAACUGUUAUGCAUGUGACGGUAUCUAACCAGAAAGCCACGGCUAACUACGUGCCAGCAGCCGCGGUAAUACGUAGGUGGCAAGCGUUGUCCGGAUUUAUUGGGCGUAAAGCGAGCGCAGGCGGUCAAUUAAGUCUGAUGUGGAAGCCCCCGGCUCAACCGGGGAGGGUCAUUGGAAACUGGUUGACUUGAGUGCAGAAGAGGAGAGUGGAAUUCCAUGUGUAGCGGUGAAAUGCGUAGAUAUAUGGAGGAACACCAGUGGCGAAGGCGACUCUCUGGUCUGUAACUGACGCUGAGGCUCGAAAGCGUGGGUAGCAAACAGG